AACGAACGUUAGCGGCGCGCCUAACACAUGCAAGUCGAGCGAGAAAGGGAGCAAUCCCCGGUACAGCGGCGCACGGGUGAGUAACACGUAGGUAAUCUGCCUCUGAGUGGGGGAUAACCUUCCGAAAGGAGGGCUAAUACCGCAUAAGACCACGCCUUCGAGAGGAGGAGAGGUCAAAGUCGGGUCUAUGAAUCUGACGCUUGGAGAUGAGCCUGCGGCCCAUCAGCUAGUUGGCAGGGUAACGGCCUACCAAGGCGAAGACGGGUAGCUGGUCUGGAAGGAUAAUCAGCCACACUGGAACUGAGACACGGUCCAGACUCCUACGGGAGGCAGCAGUGGGGAAUCUUGCGCAAUGGGCGAAAGCCUGACGCAGCGACGCCGCGUGAGUGAUGAAGGCCUUCGGGUUGUAAAGCUCUGUGGAGAGGGAAGAAUAAGGGCGGGCUAAUACCCCGUUUGAUGACGGUACCUCUUUAGCAAGCACCGGCUAACUCUGUGCCAGCCGCCGCAGUAAAAC
rnacentral:rRNA from 1 species